GUAAGCUCAAGAACUUGGAGCUUGACAGGUUGCUGCUGUGCUGGAGUUUUGGUUCGUGUACAUGUGUUACACAUGGAGAGUAAUGUGUGACACAUGUUUCGGAGAAUAAAAAGGAAACGUCAAGAUGCGAUGAUGUGUGAUAUUUCCAUAUGCUUGGUUGACGAAAUAAGCAUUAAAGGAAUGUUAUUAGAUCACAAAUUGGAAUAUUUGGUGAUGCUAAAAUAUAGGAAAUAUUAUAUUAGAUAAUAGGAAAAUAUUAUUUAAUAUAUAUGGUGGCUUUACCUAAGAUUAGGGUUAGAGCUUUCACGUUGUAAUUCUCAGAGAGAAACACAAAGGGUUUUGGGGUUUCAUAGCUGAGUGAAUUGGUAGACUUGAUCAACAGGUGUUGAGUCAAGUAAGUUGGGUUUGUUAGAAAUCGAUCCGUGUCGAGUUGUGUAAUUCGGAUCAAACAAGUCUGUAAGAGAUUGUGUAAAGGAUUUCUAAUAAAAGAUACACGAGUUUUUGGAAUCACUUUGUGCCUUGUGUUUUCGCUGUAUCUCGAUUUUACAAUUGGUAUCAGAGCAGGACAUCUAAACAAAGAAGAGUUCUUCGAACCAAGGUGAGAUCCUAAGAAGAGAAUAUGGCGAUUUUGGCAAAUAAUAUGUUGUUGCUGAAUGAUGUGAAUUAUGGGUACUGGAAAGUGAGAAUGAGAGCAAACUUACGUGGAGCUGAUGAAGAUAUCUGGACAGUUGUUCAAUCUGGAUGGGAAGAACCGUGUGUGAUGCAAGAAGAUGGCUUGAAGACACUAAAACCGAAGACAAAGUGGACUGCAACAGAGAAAAAACUUUCAAGGUUUAAUGCGAAAGCACUGGAUACAAUCUUCAGUUCUGUAGAUGGAAAGCAAUUUGAGCUUAUACAGGGAUGUGAAUCAGCUAAGGAGGCUUGGGAUAUACUACAAAAUGCUUUUGAGGGUACUACGAAAGUUAGGAGGAUAAGAUUGGAUUUGCUGGCAUCACAGUUUGAAGACAUAAGGAUGACUGAUGAUGAGAAGAUAGGAGAUUUCAGUGCAAAGCUUAGCUCCAUAGCCAAUGAAUCACAAGUUUUAGGUAAAAAAUACGAAGAUGCAAAAUUGGUGAAGAAGUUUUUGCGAUGUUUGCCUACUAAAUUUGCAGCACAUAAAGCAGCAAUAAACUUGACGAUGAACACUGAUGAACUCAAGUUUGCUGAGGUAGUAGGGAUAUUAAAGGCUGAGGAGAUGGAACUGGAAUCUAAGUUUUCAAAGCCUGCUCAAGACUCUACAGUUACAGUUGAUGAAGACAUCCAAAGAGCUCAAAAACUUGAAGAAUCUAUUCAUCUGAUGAUUCAGAAACUUGAAGAAACCAUGAAUCUCUUGUAUAAGAUGUCCAACGACAGACUGCCUAGAGAAGAAGAAAAAAAUAAAAUGCAGGGAGCGGUGUGUUUUAACUGUCAUGGUAUUGGACAUGUCAAAACAGAUUGUCCAUCAUUCAAGAGAAAAGAAAUCAAGUGCAAUGGAUGUAAUGGUUAUGGACACAUAAAAUCAGAUUGUGUGAACACAAAGAAGAUGAAGAAGAGGAGAAUUUGGAAUGACAAAAAGCCAGAAAGAAAAGAAGAUGCUCUAAAUUUUGUGGCUCUUCAUGGAGCUAUGGGGCCUGGAAAAGACAUCACUAAAGGUGAAUUUCGUGCAUCGUGUGUGUCACACACCAACUCCGAUGUGUCACAUAGCGAUGCAGAAAGUGAUAUAGAUGUGGAUCUUCUAGCUGAGUAUCAGGUUCUGUUUGGUCAAUUUGCUAAACUCAGUGAAGAAAAUAUUCAGCUGAUCAAAGAUACAACAAUGCUGAAAGCAAAAGUGAACAUUCUAGAGUUGGAAACCAACAAUAAAUCUGAGACUGGAGUGUCAAAAGAAGAGAAGGAGUCUGAUCCACAUAGUUCACAAAAGAAAAUCUCUGAGCAGGCCUACAAUCUAAAGAGUAUGGAGACUAAAUAUGAUCAGACGAAACAGCUAUUGAAUGAGGAACGCGAGAAAAGUCAGCUGCUGCAAAGAGAACUCAGUGAAAAUUACAAAAAGUUAAGGAUGCUGAACAGAGGAUCUGCAACUUUAGAUCAUAUAUUAUCAGUUGGACAACCUCCAAAGGUGAAUUGGGGCUUAGGAUACAAGGGUGCUGCUCCAAAAGAUCAAGCUAUUCCAGUCGAUGAUAUCAAGUUUGUAAAAGGUACUCCAUCUAACCCUGAAAGUAGCUCGAAAGCUGAGAAAAGACAUACAUCUACACCUGUGAAAAAAAGAACCUAAUGAUCAGACAAAACUACACUCUCCAAAGCCUGCAAUAACUAGGACGAAUGGUUGUUUGUUUUGUGGGAAUCAUGGUCAUAAGGUUGAUUUCUGUUAUUCUCGAAGACACCAGAUUGAGCGAGCUUGGAGGAUGAACCUUUGUUAUGUGGAACCUAGAAGGUGUGGAUAUGUAUGGAUAGCCAAGAAGGAUCUGUAUCCCAAGUUUACGAAAGGUGUGUCACACGAGCAUACCAAUGUGUCAUACACUCGAAUGGUUGAUCAAUAUACUGAACUUGAAGAACCAGUUCGAUGGCGUAGAAGGAGUUGAGGGUUUUGAUGGUCCAACAAGUAUCAUGAAGUUUUUCACAGAAUUUUCCACUCAAACAGGGAGAGAUGGUACUUGAUUCAGGGGGAGUUUAAGUUAAUACUUUGAUGGGAUGUAUGAUGCAUAUUGUGCUUAGAGGUUAUUGAGCUUGAGUUGUAAAACUCACUGAAAAAGGGGGAGAAUGUAAGCUCAAGAACUUGGAGCUUGACAGGUUGCUGCUGUGCUCGAGUUUUGGUUCGUGUACAUGUGUUACACAUGGAGAGUAAUGUGUGACACAGGCUUCGGAGAAUAAAAAGGAAACGUCAAGAUGCGAUGAUGUGUGAUAUUUCCAUAUGCUUGGUUGACGAAAUAAGCAUUAAAGGAAUGUUAUUAGAUCACAAAUUGGAAUAUUUGGUGAUGCUAAAAUAUAGGAAAUAUUAUAUUAGAUAAUAGGAAAAUAUUAUUUAAUAUAUAUGGUGGCUUUACCUAAGAUUAGGGUUAGAGCUUUCACGUUGUAAUUCUCAGAGAGAAACACAAAGGGUUUUGGGGUUUCAUAGCUGAGUGAAUUGGUAGACUUGAUCAACAGGUGUUGAGUCAAGUAAGUUGGGUUUGUUAGAAAUCGAUCCGUGUCGAGUUGUGUAAUUCGGAUCAAACAAGUCUGUAAGAGAUUGUGUAAAGGAUUUCUAAUAAAAGAUACACGAGUUUUUGGAAUCACUUUGUGCCUUGUGUUUUCGCUGUAUCUCGAUUUUACAA
rnacentral:lncRNA from 1 species